UACGUAGGGGGCUAGCGUUGUCCGGAUUUAUUGGGCGUAAAGAGCGUGUAGGCGGCCAGAUAGGUCUGCUGUGAAAACUCGAGGCUCAACCUCGAGAUGUCGGCGGAAACCAUUUGGCUAGAGUCCGGAAGAGGAAAGUGGAAUUCCUGGUGUAGCGGUGAAAUGCGCAGAUAUCAGGAGGAACACCGGUGGCGAAGGCGGGUCUCUGGGCCGGAACUGACGCUGAGGAGCGAAAGCGUGGGGAGCGAACAGG
rnacentral:rRNA from 1 species